UGGAAGCUUGCUUCCACUGAGAAGAUAGUGGCGAACGGGUGAGUAACACGUGGGUAACCUGCCCAUAAGAGGGGGAUAACAUCCGGAAACGGGUGCUAAUACCGCAUAGUUUUCUUGAUCGCAUGAUCGGGAAAGGAAAGACGGCCUUUGUGCUGUCGCUUAUGGAUGGACCCGCGGCGUAUUAGUUAGUUGGUGAGGUAACGGCUCACCAAGACGAUGAUACGUAGCCGACCUGAGAGGGUGAUCGGCCACAUUGGGACUGAGACACGGCCCAAACUCCUACGGGAGGCAGCAGUAGGGAAUCUUCCGCAAUGGACGAAAGUCUGACGGAGCAACGCCGCGUGAGUGAAGAAGGUUUUCGGGAAUCGUAAAACUCUGUUGUCAGAGAAGAACAAGUUGGAGAGUAACUGCUCCAGCCUUGACGGUAUCUGACCAGAAAGCCACGGCUAACUACGUGCCAGCAGCUGC
rnacentral:rRNA from 1 species